GGGUUGUGAGGUUAAGCGACUAAGCGUACACGGUGGAUGCCCUGGCAGUCAGAGGCGAUGAAGGGCGUGCUAAUCUGCGAUAAGCGCCGGUAAGGUGAUAUGAACCGUUAUAACCGGCGAUACCCGAAUGGGGAAACCCAGUGUGAUUCGUCACACUAUCAUUAACUGAAUCCAUAGGUUAAUGAGGCGAACCGGGGGAACUGAAACAUCUAAGUACCCCGAGGAAAAGAAAUCAACCGAGAUUCCCCCAGUAGCGGCGAGCGAACGGGGAGGAGCCCAGAGCCUGAAUCAGCAUGUGUGUUAGUGGAAGCGUCUGGAAAGGCGCGCGAUACAGGGUGACAGCCCCGUACACAAAAGCGCAUGUGCUGUGAGCUCGAUGAGUAGGGCGGGACACGUGGUAUCCUGUCUGAAUAUGGGGGGACCAUCCUCCAAGGCUAAAUACUCCUGACUGACCGAUAGUGAACCAGUACCGUGAGGGAAAGGCGAAAAGAACCCCGGCGAGGGGAGUGAAAAAGAACCUGAAACCGUGUACGUACAAGCAGUGGGAGCNNGGGCGUUAAGUUGCAGGGUAUAGACCCGAAACCCGGUGAUCUAGCCAUGGGCAGGUUGAAGGUUGGGUAACACUAACUGGAGGACCGAACCGACUAAUGUUGAAAAAUUAGCGGAUGACCUGUGGCUGGGGGUGAAAGGCCAAUCAAACCGGGAGAUAGCUGGUUCUCCCCGAAAGCUAUUUAGGUAGCGCCUCGUGAAUUCAUCUCCGGGGGUAGAGCACUGUUUCGGCUAGGGGGCCAUCCCGGCUUACCAACCCGAUGCAAACUGCGAAUACCGGAGAAUGUUAUCACGGGAGACACACGGCGGGUGCUAACGUCCGUCGUGAAGAGGGAAACAACCCAGACCGCCAGCUAAGGUCCCAAAGUCAUGGUUAAGUGGGAAACGAUGUGGGAAGGCCCAGACAGCCAGGAUGUUGGCUUAGAAGCAGCCAUCAUUUAAAGAAAGCGUAAUAGCUCACUGGUCGAGUCGGCCUGCGCGGAAGAUGUAACGGGGCUAAACCAUGCACCGAAGCUGCGGCAGCGACACUGUGUGUUGUUGGGUAGGGGAGCGUUCUGUAAGCCUGUGAAGGUGUGUCGUGAGGCAUGCUGGAGGUAUCAGAAGUGCGAAUGCUGACAUAAGUAACGAUAAAGCGGGUGAAAAGCCCGCUCGCCGGAAGACCAAGGGUUCCUGUCCAACGUUAAUCGGGGCAGGGUGAGUCGACCCCUAAGGCGAGGCCGAAAGGCGUAGUCGAUGGGAAACGGGUUAAUAUUCCCGUACUUGGUGUUACUGCGAAGGGGGGACGGAGAAGGCUAUGUUGGCCGGGCGACGGUUGUCCCGGUUUAAGCGUGUAGGUGUGUGUUCCAGGUAAAUCCGGUUCACUUUAACACUGAGGCGUGACGACGAGGCACUACGGUGCUGAAGCAACAAAUGCCCUGCUUCCAGGAAAAGCCUCUAAGCAUCAGGUAACAUCAAAUCGUACCCCAAACCGACACAGGUGGUCAGGUAGAGAAUACCAAGGCGCUUGAGAGAACUCGGGUGAAGGAACUAGGCAAAAUGGUGCCGUAACUUCGGGAGAAGGCACGCUGACACGUAGGUGAAGUGAUUUACUCAUGGAGCUGAAGUCAGUCGAAGAUACCAGCUGGCUGCAACUGUUUAUUAAAAACACAGCACUGUGCAAACACGAAAGUGGACGUAUACGGUGUGACGCCUGCCCGGUGCCGGAAGGUUAAUUGAUGGGGUCAGCGCAAGCGAAGCUCCUGAUCGAAGCCCCGGUAAACGGCGGCCGUAACUAUAACGGUCCUAAGGUAGCGAAAUUCCUUGUCGGGUAAGUUCCGACCUGCACGAAUGGCGUAAUGAUGGCCAGGCUGUCUCCACCCGAGACUCAGUGAAAUUGAACUCGCUGUGAAGAUGCAGUGUACCCGCGGCAAGACGGAAAGACCCCGUGAACCUUUACUAUAGCUUGACACUGAACAUUGAGCCUUGAUGUGUAGGAUAGGUGGGAGGCUUUGAAGUGUGGACGCCAGUCUGCAUGGAGCCGACCUUGAAAUACCACCCUUUAAUGUUUGAUGUUCUAACGUGGACCCGUUACCCGGGUUGCGGACAGUGUCUGGUGGGUAGUUUGACUGGGGCGGUCUCCUCCUAAAGAGUAACGGAGGAGCACGAAGGUUGGCUAAUCCUGGUCGGACAUCAGGAGGUUAGUGCAAUGGCAUAAGCCAGCUUGACUGCGAGCGUGACGGCGCGAGCAGGUGCGAAAGCAGGUCAUAGUGAUCCGGUGGUUCUGAAUGGAAGGGCCAUCGCUCAACGGAUAAAAGGUACUCCGGGGAUAACAGGCUGAUACCGCCCAAGAGUUCAUAUCGACGGCGGUGUUUGGCACCUCGAUGUCGGCUCAUCACAUCCUGGGGCUGAAGUAGGUCCCAAGGGUAUGGCUGUUCGCCAUUUAAAGUGGUACGCGAGCUGGGUUUAGAACGUCGUGAGACAGUUCGGUCCCUAUCUGCCGUGGGCGCUGGAGAACUGAGGGGGGCUGCUCCUAGUACGAGAGGACCGGAGUGGACGCAUCACUGGUGUUCGGGUUGUCAUGCCAAUGGCACUGCCCGGUAGCUAAAUGCGGAAGAGAUAAGUGCUGAAAGCAUCUAAGCACGAAACUUGCCCCGAGAUGAGUUCUCCCUGAGACUUAGAGUCUCCUGAAGGAACGUUGAAGACGACGACGUUGAUAGGCCGGGUGUGUAAGCGCAGCGAUGCGUUGAGCUAACCGGUACUAAUGAACCGUGAGGCUUAACCUUACAACGCCGAAG
rnacentral:rRNA from 1 species